rnacentral:rRNA from 1 species
CCUACGGGUGGCAGCAGUGAGGAAUAUUGGUCAAUGGACGCAAGUCUGAACCAGCCAAGCCGCGUGAAGGAUGACUGCUCUAUGGGUUGUAAACUUCUUUUGUACAGGGAUAAACCGCGAUACGUGUGCCUUUUUGCAUGUAUCUUACGAAUAAGGAUCGGCUAACUCCGUGCCAGCAGCCGCGGUAAUACGGAGGAUCCGAGCGUUAUCCGGAUUUAUUGGGUUUAAAGGGUGCGUAGACGGGUUGUUAAGUUAGAGGUGAAAGUUCGCGGCUCAACCGUGAAACUGCCACUAAUACUGGCGGUCUAGAGAACAGUUGAGGUAGGCGGAAUGCAUGGUGUAGCGGUGAAAUGCUUAGAGAUCACAAAGAACACCGAUUGCGAAGGCAGCUUACUAAACUGUAACUGACGUUGAGGCUCGAAAGUGUGGGUAGCAAACAGGAUUAGAUACCCGGGUAGUC